GCUGGACACCCCCCGCUGGGUACUGUUUCACGGCGUGCGCGGCGGGGCCGGCCCUGCUGAAUUAUUCACCCGUGUCUUUUGCGUACUUCUUGUUUCCUGGGUGGGCUCGCCCGCCCUCAGGACCAACCACAAACCUUUUGCAAUAGCAAUCAUCGUCAGUAACAACGUAAUAAAUUACAACUUUCAACAACGGAUCUCUUGGUUCUGGCAUCUAUGAAGAACGCAACGAAAUGCAAUACGUAGUGUGAAUUGCAGAAUUCAGUGAAUCAUCGAAUCUUUGAACGCACAUUGCGCCCUUUGGUAUUCCAAAGGGCAUGCCUGUUCUAGCGUCAUUUGUACCCUCAAGCUUUGCUUGGUGUUGGGCGUCUUUUGUCUCCAGUUCGCUGGAGACUCGCCUUAAAGUCAUUGGCAGCCGGCCUACUGGUUUCGGAGCGACAGCACAAGUCGCGCUCUUUGCCAGCCAAGGUCAGCGUCCAGCAAGCCUUUUUUUCAACCUUUGACCUCGGAUCAAGUAGGGAUACCCGCUGAACUAAAGCAUAUCAAUAAGCGGGAGGA
rnacentral:rRNA from 1 species